UACCAGACUCCUACGGGAGGCAGCAGUCGGGAAUAUUGCGCAAUGGAGGAAACUCUGACGCAGUGACGCCGCGUAUAGGACGAAGGUCUUCGGAUUGUAAACUAUUGUCGUUAGGGAAGAGAAAGGACAGUACCUAAGGAGGAAGCUCCGGCUAACUACGUGCCAGCAGCCGCGGUAAUACGUAGGGAGCGAGCGUUGUCCGGAAUUACUGGGUGUAAAGGGAGCGUAGGCGGGAUUGCAAGUUGGAUGUGAAAACUGCGGGCUCAACCCGGAGCGUGCAUUCAAAACUGCGAUUCUUGAGUGAAGUAGAGGCAAGCGGAAUUCCUAGUGUAGCGGUGAAAUGCGUAGAUAUUAGGAGGAACACCAGUGGCGAAGGCGGCUUGCUGGGCUUUUACUGACGCUGAGGCUCGAAAGUGUGGGGAGCAAACAGGAUUAGAUACCCUUGUA
rnacentral:rRNA from 1 species